CCCUUGUAUCAGCAGAAGUAACUCAAUGCUGAUCUACUAUGAUCAGUAUGCUGCUUGUUACUAUAGACAGAAUCUUCACCUUCAGAGUUGUCCUCAAGGAUUGAGAUACCCUCCAGAAGGUAAGCUCAGGACCUCACAGGGCCUGAAGCUUUCCCCACCUCAAGGUCUGUGGAUGGAGAAAACUGCUAGAACUUCUGACUGAGAGUUGUAGCCAAAGGUUAAGGAGGAGAGCAGCAGUAAAAAGAAAACCAAGGGCACCAUGAGGGGGAAGAAGAAGAGAAUGACAUCUGAGAGGUGGGACCCCUGAUGCACUUCAAAGGCAGACUCGGUAUGAGCUGACACAGGUGACUCCAGUGUAAAGGAAAAGAACUGUUGGGGACCAUCCUCCGCACUACCUCCU
rnacentral:lncRNA from 1 species